rnacentral:tRNA from 1 species
GGAGAUAGCUCACUUGGUAGAGUGCUUGCCUCGCAUGCACAAGGUCCUGCAUUCAAUCCCCAGAACCA